GCCUGGGUGGCUCAAUGGGUUAAGCGUCUGACUUCGGCUCAGGUCAUGAUCUUGUGGUUUGUGAGUUCGAGCCCUGCAUCAGGCU
rfam:Felis catus isolate Cinnamon breed Abyssinian chromosome A2, whole genome shotgun sequence.